rnacentral:rRNA from 1 species
UACGUAGGGGCCGAGCGUUGUCCGGAGUUACUGGGCGUAAAGCGUGCGCAGGCGGCGCGUUCUGCCCGGCGUGAAAGCCCCCGGCUCAACCGGGAAGGGUCGUCGUGAACGGGUGAGCUUGAGGGUAUCAGGGGCUGGUGGAAUUCCCGGUGUAGUGGUGAAAUGCGUAGAGAUCGGGAGGAACACCUGUGGCGAAGGCGGCCAGCUGGGAUACACCUGACGCUGAGAUGCGAAGGCGUGGGGAGCGAACGGGAUUAGAUACCCGGGUAGUCCCUGAGCGGGCU